AUUGAACGCUGGCGGCAGGCCUAACACAUGCAAGUCGAACGAGUGGCGGACGGGUGAGCAAUGUCUGGGAAACUGCCUGAUGGAGGGGGAUAACUACUGGAAACGGUAGCUAAUACCGCAUACCAUCAGAUGUGCCCAGAUGGGAUUAGCUUGUUGGUGGGGUAACGGCUCACCAAGGCGACGAUCCCUAGCUGGUCGGAGAGGAUGACCAGCCACACUGGAACUGAGACACGGGCCAGACUCCUACGGGAGGCAGCAGUGGGGAAUAUGGCGCAAUGGGCGAAAGCCUGAUGCAGCCAUGCCGCGGGUAGGAAGAAGGGCUUCGGGUUGUAAAGUACUUUCAGCGGGGAGGCGGUACCCGCAGAAGAAGCACCGGCUAACUCCGUGCCAGCCGCCGCGGUAAUUC
rnacentral:rRNA from 1 species